rnacentral:rRNA from 1 species
GGAGGAAAGUAGGGGAUCGCAAGACCUUGCGCUAAAGGAGCGGCCGAUGUCUGAUUAGCUAGUUGGUGGGGUAAAGGCCUACCAAGGCAACGAUCAGUAGCUGGUCUGAGAGGACGAUCAGCCACACUGGGACUGAGACACGGCCCAGACUCCUACGGGAGGCAGCAGUGGGGAAUUUUGGACAAUGGGCGAAAGCCUGAUCCAGCCGUGCCGCGUGAGUGAAGAAGGCCUUCGGGUUGUAAAGCUCUUUUAGUUGGAAAGAAAGAAUUAUAGUUAAUAGCUAUAAUUUAUGACGGUACCAACAGAAAAAGCACCGGCUAACUACGUGCCAGCAGCCGCGGUAAUACGUAGGGUGCGAGCGUUAAUCGGAAUUACUGGGCGUAAAGGGUGCGCAGGCGGCCAUGCAAGUCAGAUGUGAAAGCCCCGGGCUUAACCUGGGAAUUGCGUUUGAAACUACAAAGCUAG